CGGAGGGAUAUACCGACUCUGCGCCCUACGGGUUUGCGGUGUGGGUGAGCGCAGCCGCUUAUUGCUGUGACCGAGGAGAGAAGCGGCCCGGCCCGGGGCCGGGAGUGCCGGGUUGGAGCUCUCGAUUUGCCGGGGGUCGCGUUUGAGCUUGGCGCGGCGGUUCUGGAACCAGGUGAUGACCUGGGCGUUGGUGAGCCCCAGCUGCUGGGCGAUCUGGUCCCGGUCCGCCGGCGACAGGUAUUUUUGGUAGAGGAAGCGCUUCUCCAGCUCGUAGAUCUGGUGGUUGGUGAAGGCCGUCCGAGACUUCCGACGCUUCUUCGGCGUCUGCCGCUGCCCGAAGAUCGUCAUCCCGUCCCUUCCUGCCGACGAGCCGUCACAUUGCCACCUCGCCCCGAACAAACCGCCCCCCCCCCCCCCUCCUUCCCCGGCCCUCCCGGAUCCCCCGCUCCCCUCCGCGCGCCCUCGGCUGCGCGCACCGCCGCCCUCCGACGGGACCCCCGCGCCCCCUCUUCGCCUUACCUUCGGCCGCCUGCAGCACGCUGACUUCCAGCCCCUUGAAGGUUUUGCUGGCCAGCUCCUCCAGGGCGCACAGCGGCGACGUCUGCGAGAGCAGCGCCCGGCCCGACAGCGGCAGCCCGGCCGCGGGGUGCUUCUCGGCGGCGGACAGCAGGUGGGCCGUCCCGCACAGCGCGUAACUCCUCCGCACCGACGGCUUGUUGAGGAUGUCCUCGAUGCUGAAAGGGCCCCAGCAAUCCAAUCGGACGUGGGCUCCCAGCAAGAACAGCCGCGACGUGCCUACCCAGGGCCUGGCAAGGCGAGAACUCACUGUAUUUUAUUUUUAAGUAUUUCGAUGGGUACACCCAUCCCUCCUCCAUGCCGGGACAGAGAGCAGACGGGACCGCUUCCCCCGAACGACGACCGCACAGGGGUCCCCCUGCCCUGCGAUUUGGCUCUGGACAAAACUUUGUUGGCCGGAGGGGGGGUGGUGGUGGGGGGGCAGCGACACGGGGCUGCGACUGCCGAACCGCUCUGGCUCCUCCGAGAGCUGUAAUAUCUCCUCGGCUCCCGGCACGCGUGAAUAAUUCACCGGGCUGCCAAAUCUAAGUAACGUGUGUGGCAGCUCUGAAGGAGGCGAAGGCCCGUUUUUGGGGGGCAGGAGGAGGUGUGGGGAAUCAAUUGAAACUUAAUAUAGGGCGUGGGGGGGAGAAUGGCGGAAAUAAGGCAGGCAACUUCUUCUAAUAACAACUGGCUGUUAAUAAUUCAGGAGCAGUCAUUGGAUUAUAGCGCAAUAUCCGAAGUACGCGGUGCCGGCACAGUGCGGGUGGAUAAUGUAAUCGGAGCUCAUUUCGGCUUCCAAUAAAUUACAGCAGCAAAAGUUUCCUGUUAAAGCAGUUAUUUGUAUUUCUUUUUCUGAAGGUGAUCCCCCUCCCUCCUCCUCUUCCAACAACUGCAGUGAGGAAGUUAAUUAAAAACUAAUAUUCCCACCCCUUGCAAAAGCAGUACGGAGAUGCGGAGCGGGAGGCACUGCCAGAGUUUGCCCGUCAUCUCUUUCAACUUUGUGUGCUGCCAGG
rnacentral:lncRNA from 1 species